rfam:Bradyrhizobium erythrophlei strain GAS478 genome assembly, contig: Ga0132009_11
ACGAGCCGGAUGAUGCGAGAGUAUCAAGUCCGGAUCUGUGAGAGGCUCGGGGUGAAAUUCCCCGGGCCUACUCGGC